UGUUUUCACGCACAUCAGCGUUCUUCUCCCAUAUCCUAUUUCCCUUCUCUUUUUCUUGUUUCUCUCUUCUCUACGCUCCAUCCUUAACGCACUUUCGCUGCAGCUAAACACAGGAACCACCACCAGGACGCUCGCUCAGGCCUUGGAAUCGACCGUAACGGGAUCCCUUCGCCUUCCUCUUUGUUCGCCGAAACCCUACCGGACUCUGUCACCAACGUCGUCCUCACUUAUCACGAGAACCCCGGGCUGACGCUGGGAGCCCCCGCUGCCCUCCCAAGCGGUGGCCUCGCUCCUUGCACUACCUGCUCUAAGCUCUGCCCUGCCGCCGCCUAGAGCCACCACCACCUCGUCGUGUGCGACGGUUGCGAGCGCGGCUUUCACCUCGCCUUCGAGUGCGUCGCCUCUGGAGUGAAGAGCAAGUUGUGGUCGUUGGGAGUGAAGCAGCUUCUCACUAACAGCUCCUAGGGUUUCGCGGUGGGAGUGAAGAGCAAGCGGUGGCCGUUGGGAGUAAACCACUCUCCUUCACAUGCUCAAAGACCACUCUCCUUCACAUGCUCAAAGACGAGAGAUUAGUUCAGCAUCAGCCGACCUAGCGCCCCACAUCGGAGGAAUUGAGCAUUGGGAAGAUCAAGUUUAAGGCUUUCGAUUUGGGGUCAUCAAGGUUCUCGCAAGGUCUCGCAAGGUCUGGAAAGACUAUUAUGCCAAGAUUUGGGUGAUCAAAGUUUAGAUUCGAAGAGACUUUCAUGAGAUUAAUCGCCUGAGUCUGAGAUAAAUUAAGAUUACCUGGUUGGUGAUUGGGACUUUGUUAAUGUGACAUUCAUGUCAUCAAUAGUCAUAAAUAACGGUAACCAGAUGAAAGCUCAUAACGCAGCAUUUACUGCAACAAAGUCAUCAAAGGGCUUAACCUGUGAGCAGGAAAAAGCCUUAGCGAAGCCAUGCUUAGAUUAUCUAACCAAGAAAAGUGAUGCCCCUUCAACUUCUUGCUGCGAU